CGGGCCGGAGGCGGAGGUCGUGGGGAACCGCGCGCGUUGGCCCAGGGGAUGGGGUGCUGAAGGAGGGCGAGGAGUUGGCAAACUUUCCAGGUGCCCGGUGUGUGUGUGUAUGUGCGCUUAGACGGACAGCAAGCCCCCGUCGUCACUCUGUCAAGCGAACAGUCGCCCCUUUGGCCAGAUGGAGAAGCUUUUUUCGGCGCCCAAGAGGAGAAUCAUAACAGAAACCGCAAGGGCACACGCUGGCUGCGCUAGCGCCACCUGCCGACGAGGACCACGGCCGCCGCUCCGCCCCACCCCCCCACCCCCGACUGCCACCCCCACCUCAGCCCGUGGUGAGGUGGGGGUGAGGUGCGUAUAUAUUCAAGCUGGGGGAGAACGGUAAGGUAGAGAGAGGGCAGUGUUGCCGCUCCCGCGUUGCACGUGUUACCAUGCCCCCAAGAGUUUUCUCGAAGGUUAGAAAAGGAAGGUGUACGAAGCUCAUGCCGUGUACAGACCUCACUGAAGUAUUCCAGGAAACUGUCGUCGUAGAAAGCUUCCAACAGACUGGGUAUCUGAUAAGCCCCUCUCUUUUCAAGAUCCAUUCUGAAAUACUCAGGAAGGGAAGAGUACUAUAUGCUUGUUUGGCUCGAAAACAUCCCAGCAAAGUGUCCACGGGAAGAAGAAACUAGGAAGGCACCAGUUUUAAAUCGGAAGAUGACUAAAGCUUAGGCGACGGGUACUCGGACUCCUCCGUCUUUGUAUAUGUUCGCGAUUCUCUAUGGGGAAAAUGUCAAAAAGCAGGUGACAGACGCUUGUGCAGUUAUCCCGUGAAGACGUACUAGGAAGAGACUCUAAACGCAGGCUGUCCUUGAGAACAGUUUGUUCGUUUAAAAAAAGUAGAAUAAAAAAAAAAGCACGAAAAUGGAAACACCCAAGUUUUAACAGUGCUGGGGUGGGGAGUAGGGCAUGGUGGUUUUUUUUUUUUUUUUAAUCUUUGCACUGUUGUCGUCGUGUUCCAUCCAGUGGGUUGGGACUCGUAGUGACCCUACGGGACAGAGUUGAACUGCCCCAUAGGGUUCCUAAAGAGCAGCCUGUGGAUUCGAACUGCUGUCGUUUUGGUCAGCAGCUGAGCUCUGAACCGCUGAGCCACCAGGGCUCCAUCUUCGCACUAACUCUCCAGUAUGAGAAGCAGUCUAAACGCAGGCCGUCCUUGAGGAAAUUGAAUGAGAUGACGAGAGAGUGCGUCGAAAAGAGGGCGUUGAAAAUUCCAGCCACAGGUAUUUUCCUUCCACAAGCUGUAAAAAGCAUCGCACUGCACGCACCCAACGUUAGGAAGCUGCCUCAAGGGAUGCAAUUUCUUACUCCUUUUAGUUGAGACGGGACAUCUCCAAGUGUGUUCACAACCCAAAGGUCGUCAUAAGGGAAUGACAGCACCCUCAGUCCAUCAAACACACGCCUCCUUGGAGGGGUGAGGAAACUCUCUUCGAUGUCACGAAGACAGUCACGACAGAAACCGGAAGGGCACAUACCAGCAGCGCUAGCCAAAGGUAGUAAUAAAUAUUAGGGGAGAAAAGGGAUUCAUAAUGAGGUCAGAGAAGCAAUGGGUUGAACAAAGGUAAUUUUUUUGUUGUUGUUCUCAGAAUCUGUUACUAGGCAGAGGUAUUAUCACUGCCUUAGUUUUUAGUAGUCCAUUAUAAUCUACAAUCAUUUCAUUAUUUAAAUUUUCCUUAAAUUUGGAGUUUGGCCACAAUGUUAAUCUCUGAAUCAUGAAUGACAGAGCAGUUAUGGCAAAUUGUCCACUCUGAGCAAGACGUACCUCAGAGAUGAAGAUUGCGUGACUCCAGUGGCAUUACAGUGAUUACACUGAUUAUUCACUGAUUUCUAGUGGCUCUCAGUCAUCUACCUACCUAGUUUUUAAAAUGGCUAAUGAUCAUAGUUUUGCUGUAUAUAAAUAUAUAUUAGUAUUUUUUAAAGUGGGAAUCAUGAUCAUUAAGUUGUGAAGACAAUUUUGUAAGCUACAAUGUUUAUAAUAGAAAACAGCAAAGUGCACUGCAAUUAGAAUAGGUAAGUAUUGUUUGAGGGAACUUUUGUUUGUUAUUUUAUCAAAGGCUUUGGAUGCGGUUCAUAGUCACCCAAUUUUAGAGUCUUGAGUUCUGAGAAUACUAUCCACCAAAUCCUGGGAAUCAGACAUGGAAAAAUCUCAAUCAUUUACUGCCUCAACACCUUCUCCAGUUCAUUCUCACUCACCGAACACCAACCAGAGCCACCAUCACUCCUCUGACCAUCCAACUGCAUUCAACGACGCUUUGUCAGGAUUCCACUACUUAAAAGUUGCUUUUAUUUUGCCAAGUGUUAUUUGUAUUUAUUAUGCAUCUAACAUGUUUCACUGUUUACUGUCAUUUUAGUAUCUGUUACCUGAAGUGUAGGAAAACUUAAUUCAUAUUUCAUAUUGUUCAAUAUCACUGCAUAAAGCCCAGAAAAGUAUCGACUAAUUCACUAAUUGUUGGGGUUUGAAAUAUUUUACAUUAUUCAGAAAUACUUCACAGAAGUCAUGUAGGUGGUUUAAGUUGAAUUUGAAUUAUAUUUUGAGAAAUUGGUUAGGGGUUUUUAAUGGCGUGGGAACACAUUUUCUCCAUUUAAAACAAUGGCGAUAUGUUGUUGUGUUCGCUGCUGCCGUGUCACUUCCAACUCAUAGCGACCCUGUGUACAACAGAAGGAAACACUGCUCAGUCCUGCACCAUCUUCACAACCUUUACUAUGUUUGAACCCACCACUGCAGCCACUAGGUCAAUCCAUCUCACUGAGGGUCUUCCUCUUUUUCCAUGACCCUCUACCUUACCAAGCAUGAUGUCUUCCUCCAGGGACUGGUCCCUCCUGGUAACGAUGUCCAAAGUACGUGACAUGAAGUCUUGCCAUCUGCACUUCCAAGGUGCACUCUGGAUGCACUUCCUCCAAGACAGGCUUGUUUGUUCUCCUGGCAGUCCAUAGUAUAUUCCAUAUUCUUUGCUAACACCAUCAUUCAAAGGUAUCAAUUCUUCAGUCUUGCUUAUUCAUUGUCCAGCUUUCACAUACAUAUGAGGUGACUGAAAAUAUCAUGGCUUCUGUCAGAUGCACCUUAGUCCUCAAAAUGACAUCUUUGCUUUUCAACACUUUCAAGACGUCUUUUGCAGCAGAUUUGCCCAAUGGAAUAUGUUGUUUGAUUCCCUGACUGCUGCUUCCGUGGGAGUUGUCAAUCCAAGUAAAAUGGAGUAUAGGAUUGAAAAUGCAGACAUCUGAAAAUCCCCUAUUCAGCAUAUUUUCAGGAAUGGCAUAGGUUCAGAUUAUGAGGAGUACACGUGCCUGAUAAAUUUGGUGUUGAUUGCUUAUUGAAGACAGCAAUAAUUUCUACCCUUUUAAAAACCAACCCAGUGCCGUCGAGUCUUUUAAGUGGUGCUAUUUUGGUUCUCAUUUUGAUAAUUUUUUUUCCUUUAAAUACUAAUCAGAAAAUACGAAUUACAUGACUGAUUUCUGGUUUUGGAAUUUGUUGUACAAAAAUCACCUCUCCUUGAUUUUAUUAAAAACUCAACAAUAAAGUAGUUUCUCCCAGAGAAGAUCCUGUAAAGUAUAUUUUUUCUGGUGCCGCAAAAUUUAUCAACUCUGAAUGAAGGCCUUUGUUAACUUUAUUACAAUCUAAAGGUUUUUAUUACAAGAUGAAUUAACUAGCUUUUGAAAAAGGGAGAUGGUAACAAGAUGCUUACAUCUUUCUACAGCAUUCAUACAAUAUUCCUACCAUUUAACUUCUCUAAUAGCACGUAAUGAUGGCAGUAGUGAUAAUUAAAAUGGAUAGAUACUGUCUAAAUGGUGUUCUAUGCAUUACUUCAUUUAAUCAUGACAAUAGCGUAGCGGAAUUUUACAGAUAAAGAAAAGGAAACACAAAGAGGACAAGUAAUUAAUCCAGUUUUGCAGUUAUAAAGGUGACAGGGAGAUAAUGCUCAAUAAAGGCCAUGCCUCACCAUUACAUUCCAGGCUCAUGAAGAUUUUUCAAGAACGUUCAAGGGUUCCAGAAGUCAUUUCUACAUUCAUUAAUAUGUCCCCCCCCAAAAAAAAACCACGAUGCUGUCGAGUGGAUGCUGACUCGUACUGAUCCUAUAGGACAGAGUACAACCUCCCCAAAGGGCUUCCAAGGCUGUAACCUUUAUGGAAGCAGACUGCCACAUUUUUCUCCUGUGGAGCAGCCAAUGGGUCAAAACGUCAACCUUUUGGUUGGCAGCUGGGCACUCAGAGUGCUUAACCACUGCACCACCAGGGCUCCCAGAAGUUACUAUAGGCUUUCCAAAAAGAGGCAGAUUCCGAGGUGAAGCAAAAGAAUGUCCUACAUUCAUUACUAUCACAAUAUGGGUUCUCUUAAUACACCAGAGCAACUGAAGACAGGUGAAGCCUUAGAAUAAAUCCCAUUCAGUGGCUUUCUUAAUUAUGAAGCCUCAGAUGUUUGGUAAGUUGUGAAUGACGUAUAAAGUCUUUGCCACAUUCAACACAUGCAUAGGGUUUCUCUCCAGUAUGGAUCCUUUGAUGUAGAGUAAGUUCCGAUCCCCGACUGAAGGCCUUCCCACAUUCCUUACAUUCAUAGGGCUUCUCCCCGGUAUGAGUCUUCUGAUGUUCAGUAAGGUGUGAAGCACGAAUAAAGGCCUUCCCACACUGCUUACACUCAUAGGAUUUUUCACCUCUGUGAAGUCUUUGGUGUUCACUAAGUUGGGAGCCAUAAGUAAAGGCCUUGUCACAUUCUUUACAUUGGUAAGGUUUUUCACCUGUAUGAAUUCUCUGAUGAUAAAAGUUGUGUGACACGAAUAAAGGCCUUCCCACAGACCUGACAUUCGUAAUGUUUCUCACCAUGAAUCUUCUGAUGUUGAGUAAGAUAUGCACCACGAAUAAAGGCCUUUCCACAUUCCUUACAUUCAAAGGGUUUCUCACCCGUAUGAAUUCUCUGGUGUUCACUAAGUUGUUUGCAACUAUUAAAGGCCUUUCCACAUCCUUUACAUUUGUAUGGUUUUUCAUUACUAUGGAUCCUCUGGUGUUGAGUGAGAUUAGAAUUACAGAUGAAGGCUUUUCCACAUUCUUUACAUUUAUAGGGUUUCUCACCUGUAUGAACUCUCAGAUGGUAAGUUGUAAGCCACGAAUAAAGGCCUUGCCACACUCCUUACAUUCAUAGGGUUUCUCACCUGUAUGAAUCCUCUGAUGCUCAUUAAGUUGGGACGCGCAUAAAAAAGCCUUCCCACAUUCUUUACAUCUAUAAGGCUUUUCACCAGUAUAAACUCUCUGAUGAUAAGUUAGGUGUGAACCAAGAAUAAAGGCCUUUCCGCAUUCCUUACACUUGAAGGGUUUUUCGCCACUAUGAAUUCUCUGAAGGUAAGUAAGUUGAGAGCUAAGAAUAAAGGCCUUUCCACAGUCUUUACAUUCAUAGGGUUUUUCACCACUAUGAAUUCUCUGAUGAAGCGUAUACUGUGAACUGUAACUAAAGGCUUUUCCACAUUUCUUACAUUCAUAGGGUUUCUCUCCCGUAUGAACUCUCUGGUGUUCCAUGAGCUGUGAGCCACGAAUAAAGGCUUUCCCACAUGCUUUACACUGAUACGGUUUUUCAUUAGUAUGAAUUUUCUGAGGCUGAAUCAGAUCGGAACUAUGACCGAAGGCCUUUCCACAUUCCAUACUCUCAUAUGGUUUCUCACCAGUCUGAAACCUCUGAUGUUGACCACAGCUGGGCUGUUUGCUGAAGGUCUUCCUACACGUCUUCAUUUCAGCAUGUUUUCCAUUAUGAGUUUUCUCAUGCUGCAUAAGGCAUGACGGGUAGCUGAAGGCUUGUCUACACUGCUUACAUUUGUACAUUUUUUCCUCUGUAGAGGAUGUGGAAUGACUUCGAAUGGUCUUUUCU